UGCAGUUUUAUUAUACAACAGAAGUAGAUCCUCUGAGCUUCUAACAAAGCACAUUUCAACAAGAUAACAAAAGCUACUAUUUCUGAUAUGGAAUAUGCACAACCUUUCGUUGUACAUCUUAUCGUUGACUGUACAUUCUCCUAUUAAAAAUAUAUAGUUGUACAUUCAUAAACUCCUUCACUUGUGUUCUUCUAUGUUAAAAAAUUAAACCAUAUUUUUUUACAAUUUAUAUGGUUUAAAUUAACAAGAAUGAAAAUAAAAGAAAUAUUGUUACCAAGGCUCCUAUAUUUAGUUUUGAAUCACUGGGAUAGGUACAUUUUGAUCAUUAUUAAUAAUAGAUACUGUAACAAACACACAAACAUGAAAGAAUGUACAUUUAGGGAAACUCUUUAAUAUUCCUGAGCUGUUACAAUUGAAGCGUCUAAAACAUCUAAAACAAUAUCUAAAAUACAUAUAUUUUUUUUUUAUGGUUUGAUAAAUUUUCUAUUAUUUCCAUUUGAUAAAAUUCUUGAAUUUGUACACGAUGUCAUACACUGUGCCUUAAAAACUGAACUUUUUUCUUGAGUUCCAUUUUAUGAAUUACUAAGAAGUGUUAAAGAAAUAUCUUAGUGUUAAUAAUAAAUCAAAAUCGAUUACUACAGAAAAAAAGGUAAUUACAAAUAUGUUUCCUUUUUAUGAACUUAUAUCUUUCUAUUCUUCUUUUUAAAUGAUCAACCAUUCUAAAUUUUCUUUUUUUCAUUUCUCUUCUCAUAUUAACAUAAAGAAACAAGCCUCUUAGCUUAGAACAAUUAAGCUUUAAAUGCUAAAUUCAAAAAUAAGAAGAUAACCUAGGCAGAAAAGACAGCAAACAAUUAUUAUCAAGAAACCUUUAUUUUUAAAUCUACUCGGGAAAUCAGCAAAUAUCUUUGUAGUUUUUUUUUUCUUUCUUUCUGUUUGGCUAUGGUUUCUAAGUAGAUAUUUAUUACAGUGUAGGGAGUAUUUCGAAUAUGCUUUUCUAACUUAGGCAAGAUUUACACAUUUUUCACAAUUUGAAUGAACAGAACAGCCAAUUACAGACGACAAGCUGCCCUUUCACUCUAUGACCCUAUUUACAUAUACAAUACAAUCUUAAUAGUAUACAUUAAUACAAAAUUCCACUUCAGUUUUGUUUUAAAAUGCACACUAUAUAUGGAAUUAGAAUUACAAACAUAAAUAAAUGAAUAUUAAAUAAUUAGCACUAAUUGUGUUAUAUGACUGUCCAUUGUGUUCCACUACAGAUAAAAACCUGAGGUAGAGUAUGUUUGAGGUAUACCUAUAAAGUGGAAACAUUCUUUAAUAUCAUUAAAAUAAAAUGAAUUCCUUCUAUUAGCUACUUUAAGGUGGUACCUAACACUUUCACUAAAAUUAAUUUGGCUUGUUUAAUUUUGAUAAAAUUUUGACAAAGUAUUUACUUUGACCCUUUAACAAAAAUAUAAAAAUUUCAAAAAUUUUGAACCAACCAUUUUAUCAGGAAAAUUACACUGGUUAUAUAGCAGUUUGACAAACUCUAAUUUUGAUCUUUCAGAAGCUUAUUAUUCCCUUUACAACACAACGUUAUUAAAACGUUUAGCUGAUUUUACAGAGUUAUCUCCCUGUAGUGUUAGGUACCACCUUAAAUCAAAAGGUAGCAUAACCUACAAAUAAUCAAAAGAACUGGAGUUACUGUGGUCCUUCCAGGGCUUGAUAGUGCCAUUGUCAUGGGGUGCUUUAUGAAGAGAUUUUACGAUAUAAUGUUAUAAAUGUGGAGCUAUAAUAUUUAGGGAAAUAUUAAUAAUUCAAUUCUCAUGGGGCUUUAUGAAUAGUUUUAUUGAAUAAUAUAUGAUUAUCAUAAAUAAGGUGCUAUAAUUAAAGGAAAACACUACUAUUUCAAAUCAAAUUGAGUUAUUUGAAAAUAGUAAGGAAAACAUAUGAGUCUCAAGUAUGACUGUAUGUGCAAUAUCUAAAAUAAUGAUUUUAUACAAUUGUCAACUCUUUUGGCAGAAUUUAGUAUUGCAAUGAUAUACCUGACAUUUUCACUUUUAUUUUAAUCUCUAUGGUAAAUUACAAGUAUUUUCAUAUUUUAAAAAGGCCUAAAUGCUAAAUCCCAGAAAAUGCAGACCCACCCAACCCAACCCCCCAACCCCUUUUCCAAUACAUACCUUUGUUAAAUAAUAAUAUAAUAAUGAGAAUGCAAAAUCAAAUAUUGUAAAAGUUGGAACAAGGGAUGAUUUUACCUCCUAAUAUGAACAAACAAUUUGCUCUGACUUUGAUGUUUAUAGAUUUUCAAAUAGUUUACCCUAAUGACAACUUCAACAAACAUUACAAAACUUAAGGAUUACAAAAUGCCAUGUGCAAGGUUUUUUUUUUGAGAUGAUGGAAUCAUCUUGAAUUUUAUUACAGUUCAGAUGUCAUUUUUAAUAAAACAUCUUAAGAAAAGUUAAAAACAUAUUCAUACAUUCUGAAGACAAAUAAAAAGAUUUCAUUUUCCCCUGAAAUUAACAUAAGUUUGACUUCUGGGCAAACAUGUUAAAAGUAAUCUUUGAUAUUCAAAGAGCAUUGAAAUCUCUUGAACCAGGGCAUGAUAUGUUCAUGUUUCAAUUCAUUACUUGUAUUGGCACAUUUGAUUCUGACUGUUGUUGUGACCAAUUUAUAAUAUUGUGGAUACUGGACUAGAUUCCUCAACUUAGUAACAACCCUUUUUUUAUAUAAAUAUUCAUUAAUUUUAUGGUGUGUUUCUCCUUUUUGAACAAUCUUCCUCUCAUUGUAUGGGAUUUAUAUGCAGUAAAAAUACCAAAUAAAUAUAUCAUCCAUUAGCUUAAAGUGUUUGUGGAAUUGAUGUUUUCUAAAAACAAUAAAGCCGAACUCAAUAAAAGUUAUGUUUUGAGUUUUAAUUGCUAUUGCAGUAAAAAUUACAUUCUGCAAUGAACAUUAACAAAUUUCAAAAUAAGCUAUUAACAUUCAAAAUAUCAAUUUUGCAUUGCAAUAAAAAUACAUGAUACUUUUAAUUGGACAGGGAAAUACUGAGAGUGCUAAUCAAGAGUUUACUGAACCUAGAUAAAAUCAAAACAAAAAUAUAUUAAUUCACUUGUAGUUCUGAAAGCUGUUAAUACCAAUAAUCAUUGGGACAUUGAUUGAAAGUGACAAAAUCAACAAUUCUUCUGUAUAGGCUGUGAAAGAACAACCUUGGACACAAAUUGUAAAUAAUUGAAAAUGUUUUCAUUUCAAAUUUAAAAAUUACAAGUUGAAAUUCCCAAAAACAAAACAUUUUUUUACUGAAUAAAAUUCUUGAAUCUUUGCUCAUUGAGUUCACAUACUUCAAAACUAUCAUUGAGUGUAUGUUUCUUAUACAG
rnacentral:lncRNA from 1 species